ensembl:lncRNA
GCCAACCCAGCAGUAGAAAACUACACCUGGUACAGAGCUGAUGGAGACCAGGAGACUUUUAUUAGGACAGGAAUCAGCUUAAAUAUUAAAGUGUCCAGAGACAAAAGAAGAUUUUUCUGCAAAGCUGAAAAUGAGAUCGGGGUUGGACGUUCUAACCUGACUCACCUUGAUGUUCAGUAUUGUGAAACACAGUGUGGAUUUUACAGUGGAGUCCUUCCUUGGGUCCUUGCUGGUGUGUUUUUCAGUGUCACCGUGAUCUGUGCAGCUUUCCUUUGCAAAGUACAAAAGAAUGUGAAGCCACAAGAAGAGGACAGAACUUACAUGUCACUGAAUCGUAGAAAUGUCGGCUCUUCAGAGUAUGAUGUCAUUAACACAACUCCAAAGUGACCUUCACUGAUCCUUCAGAAUAUAU